rnacentral:misc_RNA from 1 species
AAACUCUCAAGCUAUGCUUGGUAUUGAAAGAUGUCUUUUAGGGACACUUUCGUAACCCGUCAGGCGGGAUCGUCCGGCUUCAAGCGUAGCAAGUCAUUCGCUUAGUUGUCCUUACGUUCCUUUGCCUUUUAAUUCUUAUCUUUCUAA